GGGUAGGUGGCCGAGUGGCCGAUGGCGGCCGUCUGUAAAACGGCAUCCCGAACGGGACACGGUGGUUCGAAUCCAUCCCUGCCCACCA
rnacentral:tRNA from 1 species